rnacentral:rRNA from 1 species
AGAACGAACGCUGGCGGCAGGCCCAAACAUGCAAGUCUAGGGGGUGUAGCAAUACAUCACCGGCGGACGGGUGCGUAACGCGUGGGAAUAUACCUAUCGAUUCGGAACAACUGAGGGAAACUUCAGCUAAUACCGAAUACGUCCUAACGGAGAAAGAUUUAUCGUCGAUAGAUUAGCCCGCGUUCGAUUAGCUAGUUGUGGGGUAACGGCCCACCAAGGCGACGAUCGAUAGCUGUUCUGAGAGGAAGAUCAGCCACACUGGGACUGAGACACGGCCCAGACUCCUACGGGAGGCAGCAGUUGGGAAUCUUGGACAAUGGGGGAAACCCUGAUCCAGCCAUGCCGCGUGAGUGAUGAAGGCCUUCGGGUUGUAAAACUCUUUCGCGCACGACGAUAAUGACGGUAGUGCGAGAAGAAGCUCCGGCUAACUUCGUG